AGCGAACGCUGGCGGCAGGCUUAACACAUGCAAGUCGAACGGGCAUCCUCGGAUGUCAGUGGCAGACGGGUGAGUAACAGGUGGCAACGUACCCAUCGGUUCGGAAUAACUCAGGGAAACUUGAGCUAGUACCGGAUACGCCCCUUAUGGCAAAGGUUUGCUACCGAAGGAACCGCGCGCGUCUGAUUAGUUGGUCGGUGGGGUAAGGGCCUAUCAAGGUGACGAUCAGUAGGUGGUCUGUGAGAAUGAGCAGCCACACCGGGACUGAGACACGGCGCGGACUCUUACGGGAGGCAGCAGAGGGGAAUAUAGGAAAAUGGGGUCAAGGAUGAUCCAGCCAGGCCGGGUGAGUGAUGUAGGCCUGAGAGUUGUAAAGCUCUUUUGUCCGGGACGAUAAUGACGGUACCGAAAGAAUAAGCCCCGGCUAACUUCGUG
rnacentral:rRNA from 1 species